rnacentral:rRNA from 1 species
UCGAGAAUCUUCGGCAAUGGGCGAGAGCCUGACCGAGCGACGCCGCGUGGAGGACGAAGGCCUUCGGGUUGUAAACUCCUGUCGAGGGGGAACAAGGGCCCGUGAAGAACGGGCCUUGAGUGGUCCCUGGAGGAAGCACGGGCUAAGUUCGUGCCAGCAGCCGCGGUAAGACGAACCGUGCGAACGUUAUUCGGAAUCACUGGGCUUAAAGCGCGUGUAGGCGGGUCGGCACGUCGGUCGCUGAAAUCCCCCGGCUCAACCGGGGAACGGGCCCCGAUACGACCGACCUGGAGGGGGGUAGGGGGAGCCGGAACUUCCGGUGGAGCGGUGAAAUGCGUUGAGAUCGGAAGGAACGCCCGUGGCGAAAGCGGGCUCCUGGACCCCACCUGACGCUGAGACGCGAAAGCCAGGGGAGCGAACGG